rnacentral:tRNA from 1 species
GGUGGCUCAGUGGUAGAGCUCUUGCCUUGCAUGCAUGAGGCCCUGGGUUGGACUCCUCAGCACCA